GCGGCCUAUCAGCUUGUUGGUGAGGUAAUGGCUCACCAAGGCGACGACGGGUAGCCGGCCUGAGAGGGCGACCGGCCACACUGGGACUGAGACACGGCCCAGACUCCUACGGGAGGCAGCAGUGGGGAAUAUUGGGCAAUGGAGGGAACUCUGACCCAGCGACGCCGCGUGCGGGAUGAAGGCCUUCGGGUUGUAAACCGCUUUCAGCAAGGAAGAAGCGAAAGUGACGGUACUUGCAGAAGAAGCACCGGCUAACUAUGUGCCAGCAGCCGCGGUAAUACAUAGGGUGCAAGCGUUGUCCGGAAUUAUUGGGCGUAGAGAGCUCGUAGGUGGUUCGUCACGUCGGAUGUGAAAAUCUGGGGCUUAACCCCAGACCUGCAUUCGAUACGGGCGAGCUAGAGUGUGGUAGGGGAGACUGGAAUUCCU
rnacentral:rRNA from 1 species